rnacentral:rRNA from 1 species
UACGUAGGGUGCGAGCGUUAAUCGGAAUUACUGGGCGUAAAGCGUGCGCAGGCGGUUAUGUAAGACAGAUGUGAAAUCCCCGGGCUCAACCUGGGAACUGCAUUUGUGACUGCAUAGCUAGAGUACGGUAGAGGGGGAUGGAAUUCCGCGUGUAGCAGUGAAAUGCGUAGAUAUGCGGAGGAACACCGAUGGCGAAGGCAAUCCCCUGGACCUGUACUGACGCUCAUGCACGAAAGGCGUGGGGAGCAAACGAGG